rnacentral:rRNA from 1 species
UACGAAGGGGGCUAGCGUUGCUCGGAAUCACUGGGCGUAAAGGGUGCGUAGGCGGGUCUUUAAGUCAAGGGUGAAAUCCUGGAGCUCAACUCCAGAACUGCCUUUGAUACUGAGGAUCUUGAGUUCGGGAGAGGUGAGUGGAACUGCGAGUGUAGAGGUGAAAUUCGUAGAUAUUCGCAAGAACACCAGUGGCGAAGGCGGCUCACUGGCCCGAUACUGACGCUGAGGCACGAAAGCGUGGGGAGCAAACAGG